rnacentral:rRNA from 1 species
AGUUUGAUCCUGGCUCAGGAUGAACGCUAGCUACAGGCUUAACACAUGCAAGUCGAGGGGCAGCAUGGUCUUAGCUUGCUAAGGCCGAUGGCGACCGGCGCACGGGUGAGUAACACGUAUCCAACCUGCCGUCUACUCUUGGACAGCCUUCUGAAAGGAAGAUUAAUACAAGAUGGCAUCAUGAGUCCACAUGUUCACAUGAUUAAAGGUAUUCCGGUAGACGAUGGGGAUGCGUUCCAUUAGAUAGUAGGCGGGGUAACGGCCCACCUAGUCUUCGAUGGAUAGGGGUUCUGAGAGGAAGGUCCCCCACGUUGGAACUGAGACACGGUCCAAACUCCUACGGGAGGCAGCAGUGAGGAAUAUUGGUCAAUGGGCGAGAGCCUGAACCAGCCAAGUAGCGUGAAGGAUGACUGCCCUAUGGGUUGUAAACUUCUUUUAUAAAGGAAUAAAGUCGGGUAUGCAUACCCGUUUGCAUGUACUUUAUGAAUAAGGAUCGGCUAACUCCGUGCCAGCAGCCGCGGUAAUACGGAGGAUCCGAGCGUUAUCCGGAUUUAUUGGGUUUAAAGGGAGCGUAGAUGGAUGUUUAAGUCAGUUGUGAAAGUUUGCGGCUCAACCGUAAAAUUGCAGUUGAUACUGGAUAUCUUGAGUGCAGUUGAGGCAGGCGGAAUUCGUGGUGUAGCGGUGAAAUGCUUAGAUAUCACGAAGAACUCCGAUUGCGAAGGCAGCCUGCUAAGCUGCAACUGACAUUGAGGCUCGAAAGUGUGGGUAUCAAACAGGAUUAGAUACCCUGGUAGUCCACACGGUAAACGAUGAAUACUCGCUGUUUGCGAUAUACUGCAAGCGGCCAAGCGAAAGCGUUAAGUAUUCCACCUGGGGAGUACGCCGGCAACGGUGAAACUCAAAGGAAUUGACGGGGGCCCGCACAAGCGGAGGAACAUGUGGUUUAAUUCGAUGAUACGCGAGGAACCUUACCCGGGCUUAAAUUGCAGAUGAAUUACGGUGAAAACCGUAAGCCGCAAGGCAUCUGUGAAGGUGCUGCAUGGUUGUCGUCAGCUCGUGCCGUGAGGUGUCGGCUUAAGUGCCAUAACGAGCGCAACCCUUGUUGUCAGUUACUAACAGGUUCCGCUGAGGACUCUGACAAGACUGCCAUCGUAAGAUGUGAGGAAGGUGGA